rnacentral:rRNA from 1 species
CAUGCAGUCGAACGGUGAGCCCUUCGGGGUGGAUCAGUGGCGAACGGGUGAGUAACACGUGGGCAAUCUGCCCUGCACUCUGGGACAAGCCCUGGAAACGGGGUCUAAUACCGGAUAUGACCUGAGGAUGCAUGUUCUCGGGUGGAAAGCUCCGGCGGUGCAGGAUGAGCCCGCGGCCUAUCAGCUUGUUGGUGGGGUGAUGGCCUACCAAGGCGACGACGGGUAGCCGGCCUGAGAGGGCGACCGGCCACACUGGGACUGAGACACGGCCCAGACUCCUACGGGAGGCAGCAGUGGGGAAUAUUGCACAAUGGGCGAAAGCCUGAUGCAGCGACGCCGCGUGAGGGAUGACGGCCUUCGGGUUGUAAACCUCUUUCAGCAGGGAAGAAGCGCAAGUGACGGUACCUGCAGAAGAAGCACCGGCUAACUACGUGCCAGCAGCCGCGGUAAUACGUAGGGUGCGAGCGUUGUCCGGAAUUAUUGGGCGUAAAGAGCUCGUAGGCGGCUUGUCGCGUCGGAUGUGAAAGCCCGGGGCUUAACUCCGGGUCUGCAUUCGAUACGGGCAGGCUAGAGUUCGGUAGGGGAGAUCGGAAUUCCUGGUGUAGCGGUGAAAUGCGCAGAUAUCAGGAGGAACACCGGUGGCGAAGGCGGAUCUCUGGGCCGAUACUGACGCUGAGGAGCGAAAGCGUGGGGAGCGAACAGGAUUAGAUACCCUGGUAGUCCACGCCGUAAACGUUGGGAACUAGGUGUGGGCGACAUUCCACGUUGUCCGUGCCGCAGCUAACGCAUUAAGUUCCCCGCCUGGGGAGUACGGCCGCAAGGCUAAAACUCAAAGGAAUUGACGGGGCCCGCACAAGCGGCGGAACAUGUGGCUUAAUUCGACGCAACGCGAA